UCAAGUACAUCUUCAGCUGGUUUGAAGAAGCUUCGAGUGAGUAUAACUCGUUAUUUGCAACAGCAACAAGAGGAGGUGAAUGGGCUAAUUGUACAGGAUCAUCUUUCAACAUGUCUGGUAUGAGCUUCCAUUUAUUUGUAGUUUCAUCAAAAAAUUCACCACACGUUAGUUCUCCAUGUUCAUUUCGUCCUCCAAUGACGUAAAAUCUAUUGUCCAUGUAACAUCCAGAGCAAAGUUUCCUCCUCCUCUUCAUCCUUGGAAGUAGUUCCCACGAUCCAUCAUUUUGAUUAUAUUUUUCAGCAGAAUCGUAGACUUCACUAUUCGCUGCUGCCCCUACCCCACCGGCCACAUAAGCAGAGGUGCCACAAGUUGCAGAUGCAAACAAGCAUCUUGGGCUAAUCAUAGAUGGACCUUUGUACCAUUUGUUCUUUGCCAAUUCAUAUCUCCAAAGAACAAGACCAUCUAUCUCAUUGCCUGAGACAAGAAGAUGAGUCCCGGCACAAAGGGAUUCUUUAUCUCCCAAUGAAAAACAAGAAUCUGAUGGUAAAAUUGGGAGCUUCCUUCGAGACUUAAAUUCUCGAUCAAAUGACCACCAACUGCUUUCCCCAAUUGCCAACAUGAAAACAGAAGAUUCUUUAAAUCCAAUCUCCUUCCUAAUCUUAUAAAGCUCACCACUGUUUAAAAGAGCCAAACACCUCUUAUUCACAAAGCUUAAUUUCCAGUACUCUGACCUUGGAAAUCUUGCAAAAACCAGGCUCUCUAACUCAUAGCUUAGUGAUGACAAAUGAGAAUAAUCUGCAUCCUGAGGUUCUUCACCAUUAGAGUGAUCUGAUCUAUCGGCAUUCUCGCACAUUCCAACCUUCUUCAUACUAUAUCCCUGCUUUUCUUCUUCAGUUUCUCUUGGCGUGCUGCAAAAAUUGAUUCAACACCUUCAGCUCCAGUUUUCAUCUAAUAAAAAGAAAAGAAAAAAAAAAUUCAUACAUCAUGCAUAAUCCAUAUAAGUGAAAUCUCAACAUCAAAACCAAGUCCAAAUCCUGGAAUUAUGAGUACAAAUGUACCACAUGUACAGAUUGUGAAUAGCGAAGAAGAAUCAAGAAAGAUAGGCGUACCAGGGAAGCCGAAUAGGACAUAAGGUUGUAGAUACGUGUCUUCACUAAUAACUCCUCAUAAGUAUAAAUCGACAGAAAAGGGGCAGAUGCAGGCAUUAAGGUGCAAAGAGGGCCCCCUCUAUUUGAUCAAGGGAUUUAAAACACGUAUAUGAAGGAUUUUUCUUAAACAGUAUUGCUAUAUAUAUAUAAAAUAAAAAUCAAGAAUUAAUUAGUUAGUGUAUAGUGAGAUAAUUAUUAAAGGACGGUUGCCAAGGAUAAACGGUUAUUAUAAAAUUCGCUCCAUCAACAUCUAUCCUACUCACUUCAUACUUUUCUUUUUGCCUUUACUAAUCAACCUAACCUUAACCAUAAUCCUAACCAUAUAAAGAGGAAGUCUUGGAUAAGGCCUUCUUUAUUUUUAUUUUUUGUCAAAGAUUAUGUGUUAUGCAAUUUUAUGUCAUAAAAGUUCGUGCAUAGAAAAGCCACAAACAAGUGGGAUUGUACGAAACUUGACUUUUAAACCAUCAGAUUUUGAAGAGUAUGUUAACUUUCUCGAUCUCCACUAGUUUCUUUUCUAAUUGGUUCACAGUUAUGUAGCACUACCUGGCACGUUAUGUUCCUUUAUUCAAGAGACUCGGGGACCUAAACUGACCUUCUUUCGAUGCUAAUUUGUCAUGGGAAUUCCCAUACAUCUGUCACCAGAGUCGUGCUAGUAAAUAUAAAAGGUUGAACCCCAACCUUAAGGGUCCCCCACUACCCAUCCCUAAAGUAUCGUGAGAGAGGUUAAUCGCAAAAUGUGCCCCAACAAGUUAGAGAACAAGAGCUACCUGUACACUGGUACCCACAAAGAGUCCCAAUUCAUGUUUCAGGAAUUUAACCCCCACACUGCGGCUUCCAGCAAGGCUGAGUAUACCUCACCCUUAUCAUUUUCACCACUGAGAUUUGCUUCGGGGGGCUGAGUCGUGCUAGUAAAUAUAUUAUAGUGAGAUUGUGGACCAAGAUUAAAAUAUUGUGAUUUUUUAAUUUUUAAUUUUUAUUUUUAUGAAUUCAAAUAAAAUUUAUUGCAUCCAUACCAAAACUAAUAUCUCUUAAAGACAGUGGCAUAUGCACGUGAUUAACUCGAACCCAGGAGCCAAAUAUUUUCCUUGAAGGACUUGAGUGCCGAUUGAACCUAAACUUUAAUAUAUUCCAAUUUUAAGUUCAUAACCCAUUAUUCAUUUUUAUCUUAAUUUAUGGUAUGAUUCAUCAAUCAUUUUUUCUUCCUUUCUUUACUUCUAUAUUUGUGUCAAAAGUUCUCUUCUAAGAAUCCAUGGAUUAUACAAUAAAUUUUACAUGCACUACCAUCUUAUCAGUGGCAUAUAUAAAUAUUGCAAAUAUAUAAUAUCUUAUAGUAAUAUAGUAUAUUUGCUAAACAUCUUAACAAAUCGAUGCAAUGUUGAAAUAUAUUAUGCAUAAACUUUCUUGAAAAUGCUGCACUUUCUUUUAUUAAUUUCAUGUCACGUGGUAUCUUGUACGAUAGGGAAAGUGAAAUUAGAUUAUCAUUAGUCAUUAUUCAUCCUCUUCAUAAUUAUUAAUAAAAUAAGACUAAAGGAUUAUAUUCUACGAAUGAUAUUAGAGCAAGGUGGUAUAGGCUUUUUGCACAAGCAUACAUAAAGCCGUAUCUUUUGCUUAUUGUCAAGUUUUAGAAUAACACUUGUCGCCUUAGGUAUCAAUAAUAAAAUAUAACAAAAGUAGUUAUAUAUAAAUUGAGUUGCUUAAUAUAAAUAUUAACAAUUAAAUUAAUACUUGCUUGCAAUUAUUCUGUAGUGUUGAUGAUCACCACCUAACGUGGCAAUGGCAUCAACAUUGCCAAUAAAUACAUUAUCUGUUUCACUCUGUAUAGAAUGGUUAGUUGACGUGAGUUGGAUAAUGUAGCUGACAGUGAAUGUAAUAUUUAUCCAUAUACACUUGACCCUCCAGGAAUGUACGGUAAAAUUGAAGUUAUAGCAUGACCCUGUGCAAAAAUGUCAAUGAAAUAGGGGUGUUAGCUACAAUGCAAAGAAGAUUUUAGAUACUAGAAAUAACUUCGUAACUACAAAAGGUUUAGGUGGAGAAAUUGCAUAACAAAGUUUUAAGAUACACUUUCAAAAAUAACAAAUUUGUAACUUUUUUUCAAAAAUCAAGUAGUCACGCAUUUUGUGACCCCUAAUAAAAGUUUUGUGACCUAUAAUUAAUCAGGUUAAGAUCACAAUCACACACAAUUUAUAGUCACAGUCACAUACCAAUCACAAAUUUAGUUGCAAAUCAUAUGUUAUUUAGGUUACAUAUUAUUUAUCAGAAUGUCAGUCACAAAGACACAAAUUGUGAGUUACAAGUACAAAUUUUAUCAUAAAUUAUAUAUUUUUAUGGGUUACGGUUUAUUUAUCAAACAGAAUUCAUCAAAUUCACUGGUCAUAAUUAUCCAAUCACUGGUUACAAUUUGCUCUUCAUCUCCCCUACCUCACCUUACCCACGCAUCAUACUCCACCAUAGUCCCUCACCAUCGAAAUCACUGUCGCCACCUCAAACCCACAACCUAGCACCUCCUCCUCCUCAAAUUCACUGUCACCUCCAUCACACCACCACUACUGCCAUCACCAUCACCUCCACUUCCAACUCUAGCCUACCAUCUCCCUGCAUUACAAAUACACACAUACAUGCACAACCAAAUGCAUAAGCAGCGUUGCACCACCCAACUCGUUGACUGCAGUGCUAAACUAACCAUUAACACAACGUUAUCGUCAUCUAUAGGUCCCAUCCACAAAGACCUGCAUCUUCAACUCAGCCUCUAUUACAAGCCUCCACAUUCAUCUUUUCCACCAUCACUAAAAGCAGGGCACGGUCUGGUUCGAUCUGAUUUUGAAAGGAACCAAAUCGAAUCAAAUACCAAUGAAAAUCUUAGAAAUUGAACCAUUGGUUUCGUAUCCAACUAUAGAACCGAACCAAUCGAUUCCAAUUCGGUCCGGUUGAUUCUUUGUAUUUAAAAAUUAUAAAAAUAAAGUAUGAAACUACCCGUCAAUUGAAAAAAGACAAAAAUAAAGUAUGAAACCAUUUGUUAUUAUUUUAAUCUAAAUCAAUUGAACAAUGCAACAAACAAAAAUUCAAUCUAAAACUUAAGAUCAACUCAAAAAGGCAAAAAAAAUUAUCAAACACAACAUAAAAGGUAAAAUCACGAUUGAAAAAUAGUUUCUAAGAAAAUUCGUUUAACAAUAACAUGAUUAUCUUUAGUAUUCCUCAAGGAUCUUGAUUUCUGAUGGACAGUCACUUUGGAAACAACGAAAAAUGUGAAUUCUUAUGAAAUAUUGAACUAAAGAUAUAUUUUUCCUAUUAGACUGCUUUACAACUAUGAAGUUGUGAAGUAUUUAUAAAAUUAUUUAAACUUGAAUUUUGAUUACCCAUUAAAGGAAAGAAGAAAAUGCAUAUGGAAAAUGAAAUUUCAACGUGACAUAAUUUUGGGUUCGAGUGUUCAAAGGUCUAGUAUAUCUUGGUUCUCGAUGCAUCGUCCCAAAUUGACCCAUUUAGUAGAGGAAUCGAAACCAAAUCAACCGUUUCUAUUUGGUUCGGUCCGAUUGCACCCCUAACCAUUACAAUUCGAAUUUAUCCUUCAUGCCGCUGCCUCUGCACACUACCCUAAACUUCUCCUCACAAUGAAGUAAAAUAGAUUUAGGGCACGAUUAAGAAAGGCAAUUUCGAAGGCUAUGGGCUCUACAUGACUAGCGGUGGAGAGAAAAAUGGAGUCGCAAUUUUAUGAUGGAAAGAGAAAUGGAGUCGUGGUGGAAAAUCGAGCAUCAAUGGUGAGUAGGCAAUUGGGGUGUAGUCGAUAGUUAAGAUAGGCAUAUUUGGAAGACGGUGGGGUUUCAUACGACUGGAGGUGGAGAUAGAAGUGAAAUUGCAGUCUGCCGAUGAAGAGAGAAGUGGAGGCAUCAGGAUGCUAUCAUUGGAAUCACGAACAGGGGACGAUAAGUUGUUGGUGAUCAAUGGUAGGUGCUGGAGACCAGUGAUGGUUCGAUGAUAGUUGUAGAAGCAAGAGAGAUAUGUGUUUGAAUGUAGACAGAGAAAUAGACAUUGUUUGAAUGGGUAAUUAGCACGAAAUGUCCUUGUCUUUCAAUGUUAUUGUGUAAAAUGUCCUUACACUUCAUUUUUUGGCAUUUCUACUCCUAUUUACAUAUUUCAUUGCAAAAAAAAUGUUAUUUUCAUCCAAUUUCUAAAUAUAAAAUAUAAAAUAACAAAUAUACCCUUCUAUUUAAAUAAAACAAAAACAAAGAAAAAUUAAAGAACGAAUUACAAUUGUGCUCCCAAUUUUUUUUAAAAACUACAAGUGAAUCCAAAUAAAUUAUUAAAAUAGUUAUAAGCACAAAAUGUUCAUACCUUUCAAUAUUAUUAUGUAAAACAUCUAUAUCUUUUAUUUUUUUUUCGCAUUUCAUUUUUAUUUUCACAUUAUAUUGCGAAAAUCAUCAUUUUCAUCCAUUUUUUCAAUUAAAAAUGUAAAAAUGACGAAUAUACCUUCCUAUUUAAACAAAAUAAAAAUAAAGAAAAGAAAUAAAAGAACAAUUGUAACUAUAUUCCCAAAUUUUUCAAAAAAAAAAAAAUACAAAGAAAUUUUGAAGAAAUAAUUGAAAUUUAUUCUUUAUUUUUCUUAUUUAAAUAUGAUUAUAUAUUCGUCUUUUUAUAGCUUUUAAUUGAAAAAAUGGAUUAAAUGAUGAUUUCAAGAAUAAAAUAUAAAAAAAUAAGGGUGAAAGUGUAAAAAAAGAAAGGUUUGAACGUUUUGCAGAAUAAAAUUGAAAGAUAUAGAUUUUUGUGCUAAUUACCCUUUUAAUAAUUUAUUUCAACUCAUUUGCAUUUUUUUAAAAAAAUUGGGAGCAUAAUUACAGCUUGUUCUUCAAUUUUUCUUUUCUUUUCUUUUCUUUUUUGUUUUAUUUAAAUAGGAGAGUAUAUAUGUCAUUUUACAUUUCUUUAUUGAAAAAUUGGAUGAAAAUGACUUUUUCUGCAAUAAAAAAGUGAGAAUAAUGGUGAAAAUGCCAAAAAAUAAAAGGUAGAAAUGUUUUGCAAAAUAAAAUUGAAAGGUAAUGACGUUUUGUGCUGGACACCCUUGUUUGAAAUAUAUAAAAAAGUAUAGAGAGAACAAGAUGUGUGCGCUUGAUUUAUGAAAAAAAAAAUUUACACCUGAUUAUUGAAAUGUAAAGUUAAAAAACAAGUGCAAGUAAUUUUCUCAAUUUGGGAUGGUGUAUUUUCUUCCAAUGACAAUGGAAUAAGGUGGUCCAGAUAUUUAAAUUCUAGUCUUUGGGCAAUAUAGGCCCAUAAUGAACCAGCCCAACUAGUCAAAUAAUUCGAUCGAGCCCCUUAAACGUGACAUGAUCCGACCCCAAGUGAGUCUUACCACCCUAUCCAGAGUCCAGAUUGAAAACAAAAGAAAAAGAAAAAGGGAAACUUUUAUAUCUGAGAGAUUAACUAUGAUCCAUUUCAAAACAAAGAAACAAGAUUUAAAAUUUCAAAAAUCAAAUAUUAUUAAAUUUAUUUAUGUAAUAAUUAAUUAAAUAUAUCAAGGUCACAAAUCUAUACAGUUUGGUCACUAAUUAUCAAAUUUAUUCGUCAUAAAUUAUUUCUCAGUUACAAAUCAAACAUUUUAUAGGUUACAAUUUUUUCAUUGGUCACAAAUAAAAAAAAAAAUUUAUAGGUCACAAUUUAUUUAUUAAUCACAAAAUUUAUAAGCUACAACUUAAAUUUUUAGGUCACAUAUUAUUUAUUAAUAACAAUUUAUCAAUCACAUGCUAUUUUUUUCGCAAGAUAUCCAAUUUAUUGAUCAUAAUAUCAAAUAAUUGGUCACAAAUACUUUUAACCCCACCACCUACUCCACUCAGCCCCCAAUCAUAGUUAUUAAACUCGACCCGAUUGUUGGCCCCAAAAAAUCAUCGAGUCUCUGGGUUAAUGGUCAAGAGAGUGAUAUAUAUAUAUAUAUAUAUAUAUAUAUACCCUUGCAUUUUAUUCCAAGCAACGUGCACAUGUCAUAAUGGUCAAGAGAGUGAUAUUGCUUUCUUGACAUCAAGGUUCGAAUCCUUGCCAUGCCAUAUUGAAGAAAAAAAUUUGCACUACAUUUUGACAACAACCGAUUCAAACAUGAACCGGUUUCGACUUUUGCUUAAACUCAUCUGAACUGGACUGCUAUUGAAUGGUCCAACUGGUUCACUUGUUGGCUUAAACAAUUAAUGUGAUCGAAUUGGACCACUAUCUGGUUCAUCAAUUUUCAAUCCGAACCAAUCGGUCCGAUUCAAUUUUAAUAAUUAUGACCCCAAUCCACCACGGUACCUUCCAAAAACAGUUCCACCUCACUAUCACCAUCACCUCCACCACUACAACUACCAAUAAAAACCCAGCAUCAAUAAUGCCGAACAAAACCACCAUCACUGUUGUCCAAAAAAUACCAACAAAUCAGAUCCACAAAUGCUAUCACUACCACCUUCUCCACCAUUGCUAAAACCACUACUGUGAUCAUCACCACCACCUGAACAACCACCGCCAUUAACCCACAAACAGCUACCAACAAACUACCCACAUAAACCACCCACACAUCAGAAAAAAGACCAAUAAACCAAUAGAGUCGCGCGCAAUAGUGCAACAUCGCUACUUGCAUCACUGUGCACAGAAGGCACCGCACAGCACUUGCAAUGAGCCAUCGCUACUUGGUGAUGGAGAUAAGUCAUUGGAGAGUUGCGCAUUACCUUGGGUUAUUCCAAAGUGAUAAAGGAGAGGAGAGAAUAAAUAGAGAGGGAAGAGGAAAGUGAUCAGUGUUCUACAGUGAAAAUCGGGAAAUUGGGUUGAUGGUGAUAUAGUAGAUGUUCGUAUAUCCCGAGCUUUGUUAUCCUUGAGGACUUGAAAAGGCUUCAUCUAGUCACUCUUUUGACAUUGUGCUCGGGUUGACAGUGUGCUUGAGCAAAGGGAUAUGCCUAAGUAUCACGUACCAUGUGAUGGCGACGAUAUACGCCAACUAUCCUCGGGCAUGAGCUUACCCCUUGGUCAAACCCACUGUAACUAUACGUAACCUAGGAUAACUCCUACGAAUCUAAGACUCUAACCCUUUCCAAAUACAUCAACACUCGACUCCUACGAGAACUCUAUCUCAAAUAUGUCACUAUCAGGUUAUGAUUGGAUUCACAAUCUAGUACAAGUCCAAUACCCUUUUCAAGUACAACUCAUACGAACAUGGAUAUUUGUCUAACUUAAUCCUACUAGGAGUGCAGUACCUACCUUUUAUAAAUACAUGCCUUCCAUUCAUUAUUCAAGUAUGUUUUCAUUAUUUUCAGUUCAUAACUUCAUGCAUAAAUUCUCUUUCUGACUUAAGCAUCGAAAGAGCGACGAGAACACACCUCAACACCUUUGUUUCAAGUACUGAAAGAUCUCACUCGUGUUCAUUCUCAAUCAUCAAGCUCGAAAAAUCAACAGGUACAAUUUUUGUUAGCAUCAAAUGGGUUAAUGGUGAGUGUAGGAUAUGUAGAUUAAAUUAACAAAAAAUCUGAUUGUACGUAAUUUUCACAAAGAAAGAGGUGAAACACUAGUAGAACACACAACCUGCAAUUAUGGCUGCCUCAUCCAUACCCAACUUCUUCUCUUUUUUCUCAUCCUCAAAACCACCAUGUGCUACGACCAAAGCUCCGUCUUCCCAACUCCUCCUCUUCUCUUCCGCUGUCACCACCAAGGAAGAUCGGUGGGCUCCACUAGACUCCUCAAAUGAACUCCAAACAAACACAUUAUCCUUAUUGUCCUGCUGCUCUUCUGAUGUCAUUUCCAUCGUUUGCCCCCCUCGCGUACGCUAAGACCCUCUUCUUCCGAUCGGCGUAUAAUGUCUAGGUUAUCGUCGAUGACAACGAGCCAGAGGAGAAGUUACUAUGUCGAUUCCAAAGGAAAGUUAUGAGAGCCGGCAUCAUUCAGGAAUGCAAGCACCGUCGCUUCUUCGAGAACAAGCAAGAGGAGAAGAAGCGCUAAUCCUGUGAGGCUGCCAAGCGCAAUCGUCACAGGUUCCACUUAUUAUCUCUCUCUUUCACUCUGCAUCUUUAGAAUUAUGAUAAUUAUGCACAAAUUUGUGAUCAAUUACAUGUUUCGGUUCAAUUAGUUAAAUAUUAGUGAAACUUGAUAAGAGUGUAAAAUAUAAUAUUUUCCCCUCUUAAUUAUUACAUUGGUGUGAUUAUUUGAUAUCAAAAUGUACUCAUUAUAUUUAUGCUUUGAUUUAGUUGCAUUUUGGUAGAAAAUGUAAAAUUUAGAAAAAAAAAUAGAGAAAAAAAGACCAAAAUGGAAGAAAAUGAAAGUCUAGGAACCAAGUUACAAAUAAUCUAAAGAUAAGACGGGCGAUGGAAUAAUGAUUCGAGAAAGCUAGAAGUCUAUUGGGUGCAAUUAGAAGUCAAAAGAAAUUAAAUAUAACCAUAAUAUUUUCACAAAUCAAAUUACAAUAGCAUAAGGAUUUUCUAGAUUUCCAGUCAGAGAUUGAGAUCAACUUUUAACCUAGUAAACGUUUGAAUUUGGAAAGAGAUAUUUCUAUAAAAAUUGUAGCCCUUUGUGUUAGAUUUCCAAUGCACUUUUAAUUUCCCCAAUCGAAUAUCGGGAGAAAAAGUUAUGGUCAAAAUACUAAAAGUAGUCGCACAGAAUAUUCUACUCGAAAAUUUAGUUUCCUUAUUCGGUUCAACAUCUUUUGGUAACAACUUGGCUCACGGUUUUAAGCCCUGGACUGGACAGAACACGCCUCUCUUCACAACCAUAACAAUUUUUUCUCAUUUUGGGUUAAAGAAUUCGAUGGGGAACUAAAUUCCUAGGUAAAGCUACGAAGGAACUCAUUGAAUUUGGCGAAUUCACAUCAUGUAUUCAUGCAAAUUGGUAUUUUUAUUGUCAAACACUUCUAGAUCUAGACUUUCUUUUAUGAAUUUACUUUGGAAUUGAUUUAACUUUUACGAGAUUCUUUAUGGAUUCAAUCAUAUUUUUUCUAUUGCGGAAUUGAACUAAUUGUUAAAUUUCAAUUUCAAUCAACUUUAUUGGUGGAUUAUUUACUGCCUUAUGCGUUGUGCAUAUGAUCGAUUCUUAAUUUUAGUCCAAUAAACAUGUGUGGGAAUGGUUUACAAAAGUCUAGAUCCUAGGAUUACAAUUGUAAUUUGAUUGAUCUUCAUUGUUAAAUUUUUUUAUUAGAAAGUUAGGAUGAAAACCUCUAAUUGAGCAAAAAGUCAUGAAUUAUUGAUGUUGAUGAUCCAAUCCAAUUGAAGGGAUUCGGACGCUUCACUAAUCUCGCAUAUUGAUAAUUAAAUAUCAUUUCAAUUGACAAAUUAUUUUCACAUAAUUCACGAAAUCCUAGUUCGAUAAAUCCUUUAAACAAUUCGUCCAUCUCCCUGUGGAAUCGACACCCCAAAAUUGUGCUACAACUACCGCGUUAUUCUUUGGGCGUAAUCAAAACUUUAGUCAACAUCUUCUAUUUAUGAAUGUGUAGUUGGGCGAUUGAAUUUGCUACAAUUUGAUUCGUAGGCUCCAAAUCCCAUGUUGCUUCUUGCGUUGUUUGCUUAAGUUUUAUUUCUUGAAUUGUGGGGCUAUUACCCUUUUGGUGUAGAAAAUGUUGGAAAAAAAUGGGUUGAGUGGCUAACUUUGGCACAAAAUUUGAGUGGAAUCCGAUUGGUUAUUUUGGAAGUUCAAGAUUGAUUUGUAUUCUCCUCCGUAAGAACACCGAAAUCAUGUAUUUACUUGCCAAAAAUGACAUUCAGGUGAAUGAGAAAUUGGAGCUCAAAUUGUGCCAAUUGAAAGGAAUUUAUGUUGUUGAAGUGAAACCAUUUAAGGUUGUCCCACAUAAGAAUAUUAUGAAAGUAAAUACCACCUUAAAUAGGAUUACACUUUGGAAUGAUGUGAUCAUGUGUAACAUAGAGGCUCUCUCUACUGCGAGUGCGCAGGGUGGCAGAUCGAACCGAAAUAAACUUUGGACGUGGAAAGUGGCCUAAGAGCCAAUGUUUUGUUAAUUUUUUUUACCUCCAACUAACCAUUUGAAUUCCCAAACUACCUAAAUUAUAAUAUUCAUUGUCAUUAUAUAAGAGUUAAUGAGAUUCAUGGUAUUGAGCCUAUAUAUAUGCAACCCGAUUUCUACUAUUCCACACAAGGAGAGAAAAUAAAAGAGAAGCAACACAGCACACACUCUCUCUGCAUAAUUUUACAUAACACAGUUUUUGCAUAAAUUUUCAUACAGUAUAUAGUCUCGUAUCUAUCGAAAAGUCGAGAUGCUCAAAUUAUACUGUUCCUCCAUUAAUUCUAGGAUAUAGACGUUCGAAUUAAUUAUCAAGCACCUACAGUGAGUGGACGAAUUUGUUUUAAGAAAAAUGUGUUCACAUAUGCUUCGGUUAAAAUUUUUCUUGUUUUGGCUAAUUAGUUUACUCGUUCUAUUUUAUUGAAAUUUAAGCUACUGUAUUUUGGCUAACUAGAUUAAUUUGUUUACUUUAUUGUAAUUUAAUAUGUCAUAUUUUGGGUAGUAUCAAAGUUCACUACAUAUACGGUAUAUGCAAAUUCAAUAUCUAAGUUGCAUAUACAGUAAGUUAUUGCAUAUAUGAUAAGUUGCAUAAACGGUAUGCGUAAAUUCAGUAUGUUGCAUAUACCGUAAGUGUUAAUCUAGUAAAUGUCCAUCUGAUAUUUGUUAAUUCAGUAUUCAUCCACUAACAUUUAGUCCAACAAAUGAAAAUCCCCUUUGGAGAAGAUUGGGAAGUGAGAUUUUUCUCAUAAAAAUGUAAACUUGGGUAGUGGUACUACCAUUACAAAGAUUCAACAAACCAAUAACUGUACUAUCUUCCAAGUAACGGAUUAAAAAAUAAGAAAGGAAAUCCACACACCCGCCCCAUAAAUUCCUUUACUCUAUGCUUUGUGAAUCCUUAUGUUCGAUACGCCCAACUUGUCUGACUUGAGGAUGCCCAUAAUUUCUCCGUCUCUUUCAAAUCAGCUUGCUCUAGAAUUUUUCAAGACAACCAGCAUAGCCAUCCAAUCUGUUGCGACUACCCCUUCCUCUCCAAAGGAUCUCCAUUUUGCUUCAUAUCGGACAUCCCAAGGCCCGUUUGUUUGUGUUGCUGCUGUUGAAUCAUAACUUUGUAAUCCAAUAAGUAAACAUGUUUGCUUGAGUUUUCUCUACAUUUUAAGACCCUGGAGGUAGAUUGGAAUGUAUUGGAGGAAUGAAUGACUAUUUGAUUAGCCUUGUUGAAGUUUUAUUUGCUGAAUGACUGCAAAUAGAUAUAUUAGAAAGCUAUCGUAGUCGUAUACCUUGAUAAAGUAAUUCACUGAUAAUACUACUUUUAACACUGACGCCCUCAAUCAAGGAACUCCAGUCAGGAUGGACAAGAGAUGCCCGGGAACAAGAAGAAAGAGGAGGAAGAUAUCUGGGAUCUUCCUGAAGGCGACCUUCCC
rnacentral:lncRNA from 1 species